CUGGGACAUGGGCUUGCAGUGCUGUUGGCUACCCUAAAAGCCUACAUCUCUCUGCUCAAGGACCUUGCUCAGCCGGUUACUACUGUGAGGGGGGCGCCUCUAGCUCCACUCCCUGGAGAAACUCUGCCUUCCCCCUCAACGGGCCUUGCCCUAGAGGCCACUACUGCCCACAGGGGACCCUGCAUCCUGUUCCCUGCCCCGUGGGGAAGACAAGGAGCAGCCCAGGCGGUGUCUCUGAGGAGAGCUGCAAGCCCUGCCCAGCUGGCUCCUUCUGCCCGAGCCUGGGCCUUGGCUCUGCCCCUGGCUCCUGUGCGGCUGGCUCUCAAUGCCCCUUGGACGCCAGGGCCCCUAGUCCCACUGCUCUGCUCUGCCCACAGGGCCACUCCUGCCCACCCGGGGCUGCUCGGCCUGCCCUGUGCCGUCCCGGAGAGUACCAGUCCUCCCUGGGCUCAGACGCCUGCCUCCAGUGUCCACCUGGCUUUUACUGCCCGCAUCCUGGAACCAGAGUGCCCCAGCUCUGCCCAGCCCACGCCUACUGCCCAGCCGGUAUGCCCAG
ensembl:lncRNA